rnacentral:rRNA from 1 species
CCUACGGGAGGCAGCAGUGAGGAAUAUUGGUCAAUGGGCGAGAGCCUGAACCAGCCAAGUCGCGUGAGGGAAGACGGUCCUAUGGAUUGUAAACCUCUUUUGUCGGGGAGCAAAAAGGCCUCGUGAGGCCACAAGUGAGAGUACCCGAAGAAAAAGCAUCGGCUAACUCCGUGCCAGCAGCCGCGGUAAUACGGAGGAUGCGAGCGUUAUCCGGAUUUAUUGGGUUUAAAGGGUGCGUAGGCGGACUGGAAAGUCAGCGGUAAAAUCGAGAGGCUCAACCUCUUUCCGCCGUUGAAACUGUCGGUCUUGAGUGGGCGAGAAGUAUGCGGAAUGCGUGGUGUAGCGGUGAAAUGCAUAGAUAUCACGCAGAACCCCGAUUGCGAAGGCAGCAUGCCGGCUUCCGACUGACGCUGAAGCACGAAAGCGUGGGGAUCGAACAGGAUUAGAUACCCCUGUAGUC